rnacentral:rRNA from 1 species
GACAGAGGUGCCGAGCGUUAGGCGGAAUCACUGGGCUUAAAGCGUGUGUAGGUGGAUGCCUAAGUACCUUGUGAAAUCCCACGGCUUAACCGUGGAACUGCUUGGUAUACUGGGUGUCUUGAGCCAGCUAGGGGCUACCGGAACAAAUGGUGGAGCGGUGAAAUGCGUAGAUAUCAUUUGGAACGCCAAUGGUGAAAACAGGUAGCUGGGGCUGUGCUGACGCUGAGACGCGAAAGCGUGGGGAGCGAACAGG